AGAAUCAACGCUGGCGGCGUGCCUAACACAUGCAAGUCGAACGAGAAAGUGGAGCAAUCCAUGAGUAAAGUGGCGACCGGGUGAGUAACACGUGACUAACCUACCUUCGAGUGGGGGAUAACCUCGGGAAACCGAGGCUAAUACCGCAUAACAUCGCAAGAUCAAAGCAGUCAAUGCGCUGGAAGAGGGGGUCGCGGCUGAUUAGCUAGUUGGCGGGGUAACGCCCACAAGGCGAAGAUCGGUA
rnacentral:rRNA from 1 species